rnacentral:rRNA from 1 species
CUGCGGAGGGUGCAAGCGUUGUUCGGAAUCACUGGGCGUAAAGGGCGCGCAGGCGGUUUGGUAAGUCAGAUGUGAAAGCCCACGGCUCAACCGUGGAAGUGCAUUUGAAACUGCCAGACUUGAGUACCAGAGGGGAAAGUGGAAUUCCCGGUGUAGAGGUGAAAUUCGUAGAUAUCGGGAGGAAUACCGGUGGCGAAGGCGACUUUCUGGCUGGAUACUGACGCUGAGGCGCGAAAGCGUGGGGAGCAAACAGGAUUAGAAACCCUAGUAGUCC